rnacentral:lncRNA from 1 species
GCUGUGUGUGUGUGGGGGGGGUGUGGUAGAAGGCUGUGUGUGUGUGGGGGCUGUGUGUGUGGGGGUGUGGUAGAAGCCGGGGUGUGUGGUAGAAAGCUGUGUGUGGGGUCUGUGGUAAAAGGCUGUGUGUGGGGUCUGUGGUAGAAGGCUGUGUGUGUGGGGUGUGUGGUAGAAGGCUGUGUGUGGUAGAAGGUGGGGUGUGUGGUAGAAGGCUGUAUUUGGGAUGUGUGGUAGAAGGCUGUGUGUGUGGGUAUGUGGGGUGUGUGGUAGAAGGCUGUAUUUGGGAUGUGUGGUAGAAGGCUGUGUGUGUGGGUGGGUAUGUGGGGUGUGUGGUAGAAGGCUAUGUGUGUGGGGGGUGUGUGGUAGAAGGCUGUGUGUGGGGGGUGGUAGAAGGCUGUGUGUGGGGGGGGUGGUAGAAGGCUGUGUAUGGGGUGGGUGGUAGAAGGUGGGAUGUGUGGUAGAAGGCAGUAUUUGGGGUGUGUGGUAGAAGGCUGUGUGUGGGGUGUGUGGUAGAAGGCUGUGUAUGUGGGGUGUGUGGUAGAAGGCUGUGUGUGUGUGGAGGAACAAAGGAACAUGGAGGAACAAAGUGUUACACAACACACAUUUGUCUGUUCUUGCUCAUUUGGCUAGCUAAGAUACUAACCUGCCAAUACCUGAACACACUUUCUAUGUAUUCAGCAUCCAUUUACUGAUCUGAUUAAAACACAAUGUCUAUGUAUUCAUCAUCAUUAAAACAUCUUAUUAAAACACACAGUCCUUUCAGUGCUCCUAUGUAUGACUAACAGUAGGCUUAACAGUCAUUCCAUUGAUUUAAUCAUACACUCCUCCUCAUGGGGACAUGGGAAAUGACCCCACGAG